rnacentral:rRNA from 1 species
GACGAACCGAGCGAACGUUGUUCGGAAUCACUGGGCUUAAAGGGCGCGUAGGCGGGUGCUCAAGUCCGUGGUGAAAUCCUCCGGCUCAACCGGAGAACUGCCUCGGAUACUGGGCGUCUCGAGUGUGGUAGGGGUAUGCGGAACUAUCGGUGGAGCGGUGAAAUGCGUUGAUAUCGAUAGGAACUCCGGUGGCGAAGGCGGCAUACUGGACCACCACUGACGCUGAGGCGCGAAAGCCAGGGGAGCAAACGGG